rnacentral:rRNA from 1 species
UACGAAAGGGGCUAGCGUUGUUCGGAUUAUGGCGGUAAGGACGCGCAGGCGGUCUUGCCAGUCAGGGGUGAAAGCCCGAGGCUCAACCUCGGAACUGCCUCUGAUACUGUAAGACUUGAGACUAGGAGAGGGUGGUGGAAUUCCCAGUGUAGAGGUGAAAUUCGUAGAUAUUGGGAGGAACACCAGAGGCGAAGGCGGCCACCUGGACUAGAUCUGACGCUCAGGUGCGAAAGCGUGGGGAGCAAACAGGAUUAGAUACCCGGGUAC